rnacentral:rRNA from 1 species
CCUACGGGUGGCAGCAGUGAGGAAUAUUGGUCAAUGGACGAGAGUCUGAACCAGCCAAGUAGCGUGAAGGAUGACUGCCCUAUGGGUUGUAAACUUCUUUUAUAUGGGAAUAAAACGUUCCACGUGUGGGAUUUUGUAUGUACCAUAUGAAUAAGGAUCGGCUAACUCCGUGCCAGCAGCCGCGGUAAUACGGAGGAUCCGAGCGUUAGCCGGAUUUAUUGGGGUUAAAGGGAGCGUAGGUGGAUUGUUAAGUCAGUUGUGAAAGUUUGCGGCUAAACCGUAAAAUUGCAGUUGAAACUGGCAGUCUUGAGUACAGUAGAGGUGGGCGGAAUUCGUGGUGUAGCGGUGAAAUGCUUAGAUAUCACGAAGAACUCCGAUUGCGAAGGCAGUUCACUGGACUGCAACUGACACUGAGGCUCGAAAGUGUGGGUAUCAAACAGGAUUAGAUACCCGGGUAGUC